rnacentral:rRNA from 1 species
UACAGAGGUCCCAAGCGUUGUUCGGAUUCAUUGGGCGUAAAGGGUGCGUAGGCGGUGGGGUAAGUUGGAUGUGAAAUCUUGGGGCUUAACCUCAAAAUUGCAUUCAAUACUGCUCCGCUCGAGUUCUGUAGAGGAGAUUGGAAUUUACGGUGUAGCAGUGAAAUGCGUAGAUAUCGUAAGGAACGCCAGUGGCGAAGGCGGGUCUCUGGGCAACAACUGACGCUGAGGAGCGAAAGCGUGGGGAGCGAACAGG